CCUACGGGUGGCAGCAGUGAGGAAUAUUGGUCAAUGGACGAGAGUCUGAACCAGCCAAGUAGCGUGAAGGAUGACUGCCCUAUGGGUUGUAAACUUCUUUUAUAUGGGAAUAAAAUGUUCCACGUGUGGGAUUUUGUAUGUACCAUAUGAAUAAGGAUCGGCUAACUCCGUGCCAGCAGCCGCGGUAAUACGGAGGAUCCGAGCGUUACCCGGAUUUAUUGGGUUUAAAGGGAGCGUAGGUGGAUUGUUAAGUCAGUUGUGAAAGUUUGCGGCUCAACCGUAGAAUUGCAGUUGAAACUGGCAGUCUUGAGUACAGGAGAGGUGGGCGGAAUUCGUGGUGUAGCGGUGAAAUGCUUAGAUAUCACGAAGAACUCCGAUUGCGAAGGCAGUUCACUGGACUGCAACUGACACUGAGGCUCGAAAGUGUGGGUAUCAAACAGGAUUAGAUACCCGUGUAGUC
rnacentral:rRNA from 1 species